UUUCUUUCUUUCUUCUUCUUUCUUCUCUUUAGUUUUUCUUCUCUGCCUUCUUCUGCCGACGCUGAGAGGUGAGUAUGAGAUUCCAUUUAAGAGAAUUAAUUAUUGAGGGAGAGCAGAUUAAGGAGAACAUGUUGUUGAUGUGGUGAUUGUUUGAGCUGAGGAGAAGAUGGGGUUGACGAUGUGGUAGCUGAAGUUAGGGUUUGUAAAUUCUUUAAUUGAAAUUCGUAUGGAAUUAUAGGGUAAUUAGGUGGCUGCUGGAGGAAGAUCAGAGGGGUUGAGGUUUAAUUACGGUUUUGAAGUUGUUAUGUUGAUUGAAGAAUUAGGGUUUCAUCUUAGGCCUGAGAUUAAUAAGAGUAAUUGGGAAAUUAAGGUUUGGUUUGAAUUGAGAGGUGAACUGAGUUGUUAAUGGAUGAAGAAUUGAGGAUUAAUACUGAAUCGAUGAAGUGAAGCUGUUCUAAAGGUGAAUCGGAAAGAAAAGGUAAAUUACGGUUCUUCUGAUUUGAAAAUUAAGUUUUGUGAAUCUGAUUAAUUGAUUGAGUAAUUAAUCUUGGGUUUAUUUCUGAUUUGAGUAGAAAUGGUUGUAUGAAGUUCAAUUUUGAUUCAAGAGGAAUUAGGGUCUGUUCUUUCUUAAUCUAGAAUAUAGAAUCCUGGUGUUUGAAUAUUUUUCUUGAGAUAGAAGAAAAGUUGGAUAUUAUGGGUCGCGCUGUGUGAAAUUUAUAUAAUUGUGGUUGUAGUUUCGGUUUUGGUUGAAUUACAGGGGAUUUGAAUAAUAGUGGAGGUCUGAGAAUGUCUGUACUGGUGGUGGUAAUGAAAUUGGUUAAACUGAGUUGUUGGUUGGUUUGAGUGCAGAUUGAAGUUGAAAUUAUGGAUAGUGAUAUUGAAUUGAGAUGUUGAAACAUGGAUUAGAUGUAUGAGCUACGUUUACUGUUAAAAUUGAGUUACAUGAAGAAGAGUUGUGGUGGCUUUGUUUAAGAAGAGAAUGUAGAGGAAUUGAGUAAUCACAGAUGUGAAGUUGGAGCUAUUGCUGUGCUGAAGUGGAGAUUCAGGUGAUGUUGGUUUGAUUUAGAAUGGAAGAGUGUUUGUAGAUAUCGCUUUGAACAUAGUUGAGAAGUUGCAGUUGGAGUUGGAGAUAAUCUGGUGGUGGUGUUGCUGUUGUGAGAGUUGUUGUAGUUGCAGGCGGGGAAGGUGUAACUGAGUUUGGUAGUAGUGUUGAUUCUAAAUGGAUUGCAAGUUUAAAUGAAUGGAUUAAGGCUAUGUGAACUAGAGAAAGUAAUUGAAGGUGACUGUAAUUGGCUUUGGUGUUGAUUAUAGAAUUGCAAUUAGUGUUGCUGUAAAGCUUGGAACUGCAAUUGCAGUUAGUUUGUAUUAACAUCGAUCGAUUCAAGGAUGAACCAUUGGAUCGUGGAUCUCGAGGUAGGCGUGGCUUGUCAUCAAGAGAUUUUCAGAUACAGAUCAGAGUUGCACAUCGAAAGCUUCGAGGAGUUGAGUCCGUUUGUUAGAUUACUUCGGUUAUGUUUAUUAUGUUGCAUAUUAUAUUUGUAAACCAAAUGACUAUUGUAUA